rnacentral:miRNA from 1 species
ACAAUGUGUCUCAGAGUGUAGU